CACGUAGUUAGCCGGCGCUUCUUCUGCAGGUACCGUCACUUCCGCUUCUUCCCUGCUGAAAGAGGUUUACAACCCGAAGGCCGUCAUCCCUCACGCGGCGUCGCUGCAUCAGGCUUGCGCCCAUUGUGCAAUAUUCCCCACUGCUGCCUCCCGUAGGAGUCUGGGCCGUGUCUCAGUCCCAGUGUGGCCGGUCACCCUCUCAGGCCGGCUACCCGUCGUCGCCUUGGUAGGCCAUUACCCCACCAACCAGCUGAUAGGCCGUGAGCCCAUCUAAGACCAGUACAUAACCCUUUCCACCACCAGCCCAUGCGGGCAGUAGUCGCAUCCGGUAUUAGACCCAGUUUCCCAGGCUUAUCCCAGAGUCAAAGGCAGGUCACUCACGUAUUACUCACCCGUUCGCCACUCAUCCACCCGGUGCAAGCACCAGGCUUCAGCGUUCGACUUGCAUGUGUUAAGCACGCCGCCAGCGUUCGUCCUGAGCCAGGAUCAAACUCU
rnacentral:rRNA from 1 species